rnacentral:misc_RNA from 1 species
AACCUCUGGUUUCUGCUCGCUUUGUUCACCGGAAAACGGUUAGAGCUAGUCCUGAAGGUACUUACAUUUUUUACUAUUCUUUUUUGUCUUCAAGUAAAGCAAAAUGCAUAUAAAUCUCAACGGCUUUUCGGUCGAUGUCGGCACCCCUAAUCCGGCGCCGUUUUCAAAAUUUGAAACCGAUUGGUUCUAACAACUUGUUUGAAGUUCUUGAAACGUUGUCGUGUCAUCCAUAACUUCAGUUGAUUUCUACGCUGACAAAAUAAAAUUCAAACAUGGGCGUGUACCUGACGCUUAGUUCGAAAACCCGAAAAAGCCCUUCCUUAAAACUUGGAUUAAUCAUUUUUCGCUUAUUUUUCAGGCGGAAGAGCGUUGAGAGGAGUUACAAAGCCUAAACGGCACGAGACGCUGGAGAACACGUGGAAAAUGAUAACGGAAGGCCGAGCAAUGCCGUUAACAAGACACUUGAAGAGAUGUGAGACGUUAGAGAAUGACGGCCGUCAAAUCCACGUUUCUGAAGUGGACCCUUUUCUUCCAAAGAAAUCAGAGACGUUCAAGGACAGGACCAAUUACCAGCUGCCACCUGUGGGAAACUCUCCUGCACCAGGGAAGCUGAGAAAAGAGCCGU